GUCAAAAAUGGUCAAAAAAUGUCAUAGUAUAGUAAGGUGUCAAAAAUUGUCAAAGAAUGUCAUAGUAUAGUAAGUCAAAAACAGUAAAAAAAUUUGUUAUAGUAUAGUAAGGAACAGACAAUGUCUCUGUGAUCUUCGAUGGUGUCUCCCUGAUCGCAGGCGAUGCCGUCAAAU